UUGGGAGGGGAACAACAACUGGAAACGGUUGCUAAUACCCCGUAGGCUGAGGAGCAAAAGGAGAAAUCCGCCCAAGGAGGGGCUCGCGUCUGAUUAGCUAGUUGGUGAGGCAAUAGCUUACCAAGGCGAUGAUCAGUAGCUGGACCGAGAGGAUGAUCAGCCACACUGGGACUGAGACACGGCCCAGACUCCUACGGGAG
rnacentral:ncRNA from 1 species